AACGGCCGUACCAUGCUGAAUAUACCGGUUCUCGUUAGAUCACCGAAGUUAACCAUCAUUGGGCGCGGUCAGUACUUGGGUGGGUGACCACCUGGGAACACUGCGUGCCGUU
rnacentral:rRNA from 1 species